rnacentral:rRNA from 1 species
CAUCCUCCAAGGCUAAAUACUCCUGACUGACCGAUAGUGAACCAGUACCGUGAGGGAAAGGCGAAAAGAACCCCGGCGAGGGGAGUGAAAAAGAACCUGAAACCGUGUACGUACAAGCAGUGGGAGCCCCACCACUAAGCCAGUGGUGAACUCCACAUACGCAUCCUUUGCUGAGGAUACGGUUAACGGAGCGAAAGCGACGUUCAACCGCAAAAGAAGCAGAGGGGGCUUAGUGGUGGGGUGACUGCGUACCUUUUGUAUAAUGGGUCAGCGACUUAUAUUCUGUAGCAAGGUUAACCGCAUAGGGGAGCCGGAGGGAAACCGAGUCUUAAUUGGGCGUUAAGUUGCAGGGUAUAGACCCGAAACC